GACGAACGCUGGCGGCGUGCUUAACACAUGCAAGUCGAACGGAAAGGCCCUGCUUUUGUGGGGUGCCCGAGUGGCGAACGGGUGAGUAACACGUGAGUAACCUGCCCUUCACUUUGGGAUAACUUCAGGAAACUGGGGCUAAUACCGGAUAGGAGCUCCCGCUGCAUGGUGGGGGUUGGAAAGUUUCGGCGGUUGGGGAUGGACUCGCGGCUUAUCAGCUUGUUGGUGGGGUAGUGGCUUACCAAGGCUUUGACGGGUCGCCGGCCUGAGAGGGUGACCGGCCACAUUGGGACUGAGAUACGGCCCAGACUGCUACGGGAGGCAGCAGUGGGGAGUAUUGCACAGUGGGCGGGAGCCUGUUGAAGCAACGCCGCGUGCGGAAUGACGGCCUUCGGGUUGUGAACCGCUUUCGCCUGUGACGCAGCGGGAGUGACGGUAAUGGGUAAAGAAGCACCGGCUAACUACGUG
rnacentral:rRNA from 1 species